AUAAUAAUAAUAAUAAUAAUAAUAAUAAUAAUAAUAGCAGCAGCAGCAGCCAGCUGGGAACUCGUCCUCCUUGUUGGCCCGCAGUCGCUCCCCGUCGGACCCUCAACCGAAGCGCGGUCCGGCUUCUCCACGGAGCCGAUCCUCCCGCCCCUUAGUAAAUCCGAGUAAAAGCUCUUCCAAGGAUCUCCGCCGCGGUUCCGCAACCGGCAGGAAGACGUAGCUGCAACCUGCCCCGCCGAGCAGCCUAGCGGGAAGGGAAGGCGCAGCCCGGAGCCUCGCCAGAGGAAGUCGGGCGGGUGGGCGGACGGACGCGGCGGCGGCGGGCGAGAGGUGCCGCGCCAUCCCCGGGAGAUGUUUCAUGACCCAACUAGGUAAUAUCAUCAGCGAUAAAAGGACUUCUACCACUUGCAGAAACGUCUGCAAGAAAACAGCCAAGCUCAAAAAGCAUCAAGGACCCCACAAAUCACAAAGCUGGACUGGACCCAAAUGUUCCUGAAAUGCGAGAGAGAGGCAGGACUGUUGCUAUAAAAUUCAAAUAUCUGUAUUACGGUCUUCUGCCAUUUUAUUUCCUAAUGCUGCUUAUAUGGGACCACAUCCAUGGCAGUCAAGUGCAUCAGGACAUCCUUGCACAGAUGACUCCAUCUCACUCGGAGUCCUAGUUGACAAUCACCUAAAUAUGAGCCAGCCGUGUGCUGCAGCUGCCAAAAAGGCCAACACAGUGCUAGGCUGCAUUAACAGAGGGAGAGAAUCAAGAUCACAUGAAGUGUUAA